rnacentral:rRNA from 1 species
AGUGAACGCUGGCGGUAGGCCUAACACAUGCAAGUCGAACGGCAGCACAGUAAGAGCUUGCUCUUACGGGUGGCGGGUGGCGGACGGGUGAGGAAUACAUCGGAAUCUACUUUUUCGUGGGGGAUAACGUAGGGAAACUUACGCUAAUACCGCAUACGACCUACGGGUGAAAGCAGGGGAUCUUCGGACCUUGCGCGAUUGAAUGAGCCGAUGUCGGAUUAGCUAGUUGGCGGGGCAAAGGCCCACCAAGGCGACGAUCCGUAGCUGGUCUGAGAGGAUGAUCAGCCACACUGGAACUGAGACACGGUCCAGACUCCUACGGGGGGCAGCAGUGGGGAAUAUUGGACAAUGGGCGCAAGCCUGAUCCAGCCAUACCGCGUGGGUGAAGAAGGCCUUCGGGUUGUAAAGCCCUUUUGUUGGGAAAGAAAAGCAGCAGGUUAAUACCCCGCUGUUCUGACGGUACCCAAAGAAUAAGCACCGGCUAACUUCGUG